UCGUAACAAGGUCUCCGUUGGUGAACCAGCGGAGGGAUCAUUACUGAGUUUACGCUCUAUAACCCUUUGUGAACAUACCUAUAACUGUUGCUUCGGCGGGUAGGGUCUCCGUGACCCUCCCGGCCUCCCGCCCCCGGGCGGGUCGGCGCCCGCCGGAGGAUAACCAAACUCUGAUUUAACGACGUUUCUUCUGAGUGGUACAAGCAAAUAAUCAAAACUUUUAACAACGGAUCUCUUGGUUCUGGCAUCGAUGAAGAACGCAGCGAAAUGCGAUAAGUAAUGUGAAUUGCAGAAUUCAGUGAAUCAUCGAAUCUUUGAACGCACAUUGCGCCCGCCAGCAUUCUGGCGGGCAUGCCUGUUCGAGCGUCAUUUCAACCCUCAAGCUCUGCUUGGUGUUGGGGCCCUACAGCUGAUGUAGGCCCUCAAAGGUAGUGGCGGACCCUCCCGGAGCCUCCUUUGCGUAGUAACUUUACGUCUCGCACUGGGAUCCGGAGGGACUCUUGCCGUAAAACCCCCAAUUUCCAAAGGUGACCUCGAUCAGU
rnacentral:rRNA from 1 species